ensembl:lncRNA
GUUCGCCUUCAUGUAUGUUUAACGAUCUGGUACAUUAUAUAUGGUGUCAUUUCUGGAAAAAUUAUGCAAAAUAAAGUAAACCAAAAUAAAUAGUCAAGAAACAGAUUCCUACACCCACACAAAGAAAUAAUCGUUGACACAUUUUAUUUCAUAUUUGACAGUUUGAAUUAUUUUUGUUUAAGUUUGUUUAAGUCUCUUUUCUCCACCACUAUCUUCUGUCUGAGACUGAGAAGGAGGAGGAAGGGAAGAGGCGGGGUACUGGAGGAGAGGAGAGAAGGAGGAGAAAGGAGUUCUGGAGAAGAGGAGACGGGGGACUGGAGGAGGAGAGGAGGAGGAGAGGAGGAGUGGAGGAGACAGGGUAUAGGAGGAGGAGGAGGAGAGGAGAGGAGGAGGUGGAGGAGGAGUGGAGGAGACAGGG